CAUAAUUGUAAGUCGCUUUGGAUAAAAAGCGUCAGCUAAAUUACAGCAUCGUUAGCGAGCUACUCGCUAUUUCGGUAGCCUACAGAACACGGCUUGCAUUACAUCAUGCAAACAAAUCAUUGAAAUAAAUGUUUUGGAAAAUAUAUGUCAUGUAAGAGCUCAGAAAAAAAUAUUACGAUGAUAAAGACUAAGCACCAGUUUAUAAGCACUAGAGGUUAACUUUUGGUGCUUAGUAAAUAAAAAGGUAGUAUAUUAAUUUUGGGAAAAUACCUAAAAUGCGAUUUACACUAUUUGGGAAACAAUCUUAUCCAGAGCGACUUACAUUUUUUUUAAUCGAACGCUACUAGUUUCCCCUGGGGAUCCACCCCACGAACAACGGCAGCAUCACGCUAUCGCUGCUCUACCAGGAGAACUAACGCUACAGAAUAACAAACGUGGCAAACAAUGAUUAUGGAAUUUUAGCUAGUAGGUGAAAUGAGAAAAAAAAAUUAUAUUGAUUGUUUGAUGCUGAAGGUUCAGACUGCCGAUCAACCAUUCGCCCUUUAUAAAUUGCUUUAAAAUACAGUACUGCUCUAAAACGCAAGAUAAUAAACAAAAGCCCUGUGUUACGUAUAUUACAUCUAGGCCUAUAUUACAUCUCCCCAUACAAUUGACACCCAUUUUUACGGAGAAUGAACCGCGCUAGCCUGCCUAUCUUACGUCGCCUUCCUACGUCAUCUACACGACGAACCGCUGCGUGUGCUGAUGCGCAGUCUUAGCGAAUUCGCGAUUUCGUGCAGGAAUUCCGAGUCCACAGAAGCGCACAUGGCUGAGCUUUCUCUGAAAUGUCUGCAGUGCAGUAACCAGCAUUUCAGCUAACGCACCUACCAUAACGUGUAACGGUGGAUGACGUCACAGCGGACGGUGAACCGAAGGAAUGACCCUGCUCAACUCAAGCCUGGCCGUGCUGCGGCCAAGAUGACUGGAAGAUGCGCCGGCGAGUGAGAGGGAGAGAGAAAGGGAAAGAGACAGAGAAGGAGGGGCGAGGGUUUGUGAGGACAGGGAGCCUCUGUUCUGCCCUGAGUGUUUUUUUUUCUGGCGCUGUUUCUCGUACACACCAGCUGACUGCUUGCGCAUGUAAACACCAUCCACAUGCUGGAGCAGCCAUCGAACACACAGCGCACCGAACCACACCCCAUACUUGUCAUUUAUCCCUUAAACACAAUACACAGCAUGGCUCGCUCACGCUUGCAGUUACAAAGGAACUUCCGCGGCAAGGUUUUUCAGGCGUAGCUCUCCCUCGCUUUCGCCGCGAGAGGCGGUUCUCCUACAUCGCAUACUGGCGUGGCCUUUUCCAGACGGAGCUAUUUUAGCGCGGCGACCGCAUCCCACUGCUUCAAAGGAUCACGGUGCCAUAUGAAAAAUUCAGUCUGUAGACCGCAGCGAGAGCGCUUCGCCCGCUGAGAUCUCAGCAAGCUAUUUAACCUUAAUUGACUAUGGGUGUGAUCGCCACCCCUGGGGGUGUGCACAAUAACAUACACUACAGUGAAAGAGCAUAUAGAACGACUUGAAAAUGUAGUAUAACAGAAGAUAAAAUAAAGCAAGGCAAUCGGUAGCUUUCUUAUGACAGCAUCUUUUCGCUUCUUUGCACGCGUCUCAGUAGGCUAAUUGAUGCACUAGUCGUCUUGUUCAGACUUCAUGAAAAGGAUUAUCGUGACACAAAGCGAAAAUGGCAGCACAAACGUUCGUUUAAGCUUCCUUAACCUUAAAAUCCAAGUAAAGGUGUGUUUCGAAAAUGA